rnacentral:rRNA from 1 species
GUUUGAUCCUGGCUCAGAGCGAACGUUAGCGGCAGGCUUAACACAUGCAAGUCGAGCGACAAAGGGGCUUCGGCCCUGAGUAGAGCGGCGGACGGGUGCGUAACACGUGGAUAAUCUGCCUCGUGGCGGGGGAUAACAGUCCGAAAGGACUGCUAAUACCGCAUGUCAGGUCGGAAACCCCGGUUUCUGACGAAAAAGAGGGCGCCCGCAAGGGGCUCUCACCACGAGAUGAGUCCGCGGCCCAUCAGCUAGUUGGCGGUGUAAUAGACCACCAAGGCUAAGACGGGUAGCUGGUCUGAGAGGAUGACCAGCCACACUGGGACUGAGACACGGCCCAGACUCCUACGGGAGGCAGCAGUGGGGAAUAUUGGACAAUGGGCGAAAGCCUGAUCCAGCCAUGCCGCGUGAGUGAUGAAGGUCUUCGGAUCGUAAAGCUCUGUGGGAAGGGACGAAAAAGCCUAACCUAAUACGUUAGGUCUUGACGGUACCUUCUUAGCAAGCACCGGCUAACUCCGUGCCAGCAC